rnacentral:rRNA from 1 species
AGAGUUUGAUCCUGGCUCAGAUUGAACGCUGGCGGCAGGCUUAACACAUGCAAGUCGAGCGGAGAUAGGUAGCUUGCUACUGAUUCUUAGCGGCGGACGGGUGAGUAAUGCUUAGGAAUCUGCCUAUUAGUGGGGGACAACGUUCCGAAAGGGACGCUAAUACCGCAUACGUCCUACGGGAGAAAGCAGGGGAUCUUCGGACCUUGCGCUAAUAGAUGAGCCUAAGUCGGAUUAGCUAGUUGGUGGGGUAAAGGCCUACCAAGGCGACGAUCUGUAGCGGGUCUGAGAGGAUGAUCCGCACACUGGGACUGAGACACGGCCCAGACUCCUACGGGAGGCAGCAGUGGGGAAUAUUGGACAAUGGGGGGAACCCUGAUCCAGCCAUGCCGCGUGUGUGAAGAAGGCCUUUUGGUUGUAAAGCACUUUAAGCGAGGAGGAGGCUACUUUAGUUAAUACCUAGAGAUAGUGGACGUUACUCGCAGAAUAAGCACCGGCUAACUCUGUGCCAGCAGCCGCGGUAAUACAGAGGGUGCGAGCGUUAAUCGGAUUUACUGGGCGUAAAGCGUGCGUAGGCGGCUUUUUAAGUCGGAUGUGAAAUCCCCGAGCUCAACUUGGGAAUUGCAUUCGAUACUGGGAAGCUAGAGUAUGGGAGAGGAUGGUAGAAUUCCAGGUGUAGCGGUGAAAUGCGUAGAGAUCUGGAGGAAUACCGAUGGCGAAGGCAGCCAUCUGGCCUAAUACUGACGCUGAGGUACGAAAGCAUGGGGAGCAAACAGGAUUAGAUACCCUGGUAGUCCAUGCCGUAAACG